rnacentral:lncRNA from 1 species
GGCUCAGUCAUGCCAGGAUUAGCCCACACGAUUUCCACAUGUUUAGGUCUGAAGCAGUUCACACUAUGACCAUAAAGUACUUAGUCGUGGGAGUGGAGUUGUCUUUACUUUAAAAUCACACAAAUAUUUGCCAGUUUUAGGAAUGUUAAAGUCAUUACAUCAACUUCAAGUUGAAAAUCGAAGAUUAGAAGAACAGAUUAAAAACUUGACUGCCAAAAAAGAACGUCUUCAGUUGUUGAACGCACAGCUUUCAGUGCCUUUCCCAGCAAUAACGACAAACCCUAGUCCAUCUCAUCAGAUACACACAUACACAGCACAGACUGGUGAGUACAAGAAUACUUUGUUUCUAAGGACCAUGGAUGGACUCUUACUGUCAUGUACACAGAGAACAGUACCUGGCCACCAUUUCCGUGAAGAAGCAGCUACUUCUAAGGGGCAGAGACAGCCUAACAAGUCCCUUGAGUUUUCUUUUACUUCAAUGGAUAGUUUAAUGAUAAAAUCC